rnacentral:pre_miRNA from 1 species
UACACUGUAGAAUAGGCUUGUGUUGUCGACGACUCGGAUGUUUCACAAGUCUAUUUCUACGGAGUUCG